rnacentral:piRNA from 1 species
UCACAAGGGAGAAGCAGGACGCUCCGGU